rnacentral:lncRNA from 1 species
UACACAUCAAAACACUCGCGACUAUGGCAGAGGUUGCUCGUUGCCUACACUGCCUUCACUGAAAGAAGAAUCGCCCUAGCCGACUGAUCCCGUUGAUCAUAUAACUGGGAGGGAAUGUGCUCAUAACUACUAGAGCUCAGUCUACUGAAUUGAGUUUCCAAAGGCUUUGCUCACUACAACGUAUCACGACUAGGAAAGACUUUCCAAAGGUAACCGAGCUUUGCUUUAUCAAUGUGUUGUAGAUUGACAAAGGCAGAGGUUGCUUUGGAAACGUGCUAAUGUUUCCAA